rnacentral:rRNA from 1 species
AUUGAACGCUGGCGGCAGGCCUAACACAUGCAAGUCGAGCGGAUGAAGGGAGCUUGCUCCUGGAUUCAGCGGCGGACGGGUGAGUAAUGCCUAGGAAUCUGCCUGGUAGUGGGGGAUAACGUCCGGAAACGGGCGCUAAUACCGCAUACGUCCUGAGGGAGAAAGUGGGGGAUCUUCGGACCUCACGCUAUCAGAUGAGCCUAGGUCGGAUUAGCUAGUUGGUGGGGUAAAGGCCUACCAAGGCGACGAUCCGUAACUGGUCUGAGAGGAUGAUCAGUCACACUGGAACUGAGACACGGUCCAGACUCCUACGGGAGGCAGCAGUGGGGAAUAAUGGACAAUGGGCGAAAGCCUGGUCCAGCCAUGCCGCGUGUGUGAAGAAGGUCUUCGGAUUGUAAAGCACUUUAAGUUGGGAGGAAGGGCAGUAAGUUAAUACCUUGCUGUUUUGACGUUACCAACAGAAUAAGCACCGGCUAACUUCGUG